rnacentral:rRNA from 1 species
UAGGGAAUAUUGGGCAAUGGAGGCAACUCUGACCCAGCCAUGCCGCGUGUAGGAAGAAUGCCCUCUGGGUUGUAAACUACUUUUAUACGGGAAGAAAAAAUACUACGUGUAGUAUACUGACGGUACCGUAAGAAUAAGGAUCGGCUAACUCCGUGCCAGCAGCCGCGGUAAUACGGAGGAUUCGAGCGUUGUCCGGAUUUAUUGGGUUUAAAGGGUGCGUAGGCGGAUUUUUAAGUCAGUGGUGAAAGCCUGCAGCUCAACUGUAGAAUUGCCAUUGAAACUGAAAAUCUUGAAUUUGGUUAAAGUAGGCGGAAUGUAUCAUGUAGCGGUGAAAUGCUUAGAUAUGAUACAGAACACCGAUAGCGAAGGCAGCUUGCUGAACCAA